rnacentral:lncRNA from 1 species
UGCAAAUGGUGACAUUGUUGAUGUUUGAUUACCUCCUGAAGGGAUGAAGUGGAUGGGUCUCUCUCACUUUCUGGAAUCCAGAAGGUUGAACCAGGAUGCUGGGCGAGCAGUUUCCUGCCUCUCCUCCGUUGGGCGAGCAAGGCACACCUGAAGCCAAUCUCCUGUCAUUAUCCAUACCUGCCAUUCUCUUUAAAAGCCUUUUCAUCUCUCCACUCUUUGCCAAUCUGUUGCAAACCCCUCCCCCAUGAUCGUCUCUCGGAUGCCUGCUCCAGCCUGACUGUGUUUGUCUCUCACCUGCACCCUUUGGCUCUGUACAGAACUUGGACCUAAGUAAACUUGUUCAACUUCACUCUGUCCUCUAUCGUGUGUGUCUGCAUUUGGGGUCUUGAUUCGUGUCCGCAGUUCGUAACACCUGCAGUCUCUGCUAAGCCUGAACUGCGUUGAACUCCAGGAGGUUACUGCGGAAAGAAAAGAAUUAACAGCAAUUACUAUUCAAAAGUUGUUUUUGAAACAGGAAGAACAUAUUUGGUCAUAUUUCUUCAUGGAAAUAUAAGGAAGCACAGCUUGGAUUCCUUCCUCCUUGCCAGACCAGUCUCAUCCACAUAGUGGAAGAGGAUCUCCUCUUUUUUUUGUCAAAGUAGGAGAGAAGAAGGAACACCAUGUCUUUCAAAUCUUCUGAGCAGCCCUCUAACCUAGCCCUCUGUCAUCUGAGAAUUUUCAUUUUUGUAAUGCUCUCAGCUGCUUUAUCAGUGAAUGAUAUCCUGCUCCCACCACAUGAUCUUCUAUGACAUCUUGCAAUGACCAUGGAUAUUUGGCAACCAUUUUUUUGGCUACUGCUGUCGAGGCUUGUUUACUAGAAGAAGCAGACAUUCAUCAUCUCCGAAACGGUAAUACGGACCG